UUAAAAAGCUCGUAGUUGGAUUUCUGUCGGUGAGUGGCGGUCCGCCCCAGUGGUUGGCACACGUCAUGCCAUCGGCAUCUUUCUGGGGAGUGUGUCUGCUCUUCACUGAGUGGUGCAUAAUCCAGGACGUUUACUUUGAGGAAAUGAGAGUGUUUCAAGCAGGCAUGCGCCGUGAAUACGUUAGCAUGGAAUAAUAGCAUCGGACCUCGCUCCAAAGCUGUUGGUUUCUUGGAACGAGGUAAAGGUGAAUAGGGAUUGUUGGGGGCAUUCGUAUUUAACUGUCAGAGGUGAAAUUCUUGGAUUUGUUGAAGACGG
rnacentral:rRNA from 1 species